rnacentral:rRNA from 1 species
UUUCCUACGGGGGGCAGCAGUGGGGAAUAUUGCACAAUGGGGGAAACCCUGAUGCAGCGACGCCGCGUGAAGGAAGAAGUAUUUCGGUAUGUAAACUUCUACCAGCAGGGAAGAAAAUGACGGUACCUGACUAAGAAGCCCCGGCUAACUACGUGCCAGCAGCCGCGGUAAUACGUAGGGGGCAAGCGUUAUCCGGAUUUACUGGGUGUAAAGGGAGCGUAGACGGCUGUGCAAGUCUGAAGUGAAAUGCCGGGGCUCAACCCCGGAACUGCUUUGGAAACUGUACAGCUAGAGUGCAGGAGGGG